GCGGUGCUCUUCACUGAGUGUCGAGGUGGGCCGGCACGUUUACUUUGAACAAAUUAGAGUGCUUCAAGCAGGCUGGAUAUUGCCUGAAUGCUAGUGCAUGGAAUAAUGGAAUAGGACCUCGGUUCUAUUUUGUUGGUUUUCGGAACCAGAGGUAAUGAUUAAUGGAGACAGGCGGGGGCAUUCGUAUUGCGACGUUAGAGGUGAAAUUCUUGGAUCGUCGCAAGACGGACCGAAGCGAAAGCAUUUGCCAAGGAUGUUCUCGUUGAUCAAGAACGAAAGUUAGAGGUUCGAAGGCGAUCAGAUACCGCCCUAGUUCUAACCAUAAACGAUGCCAGCUAGCGAUCCGUUAAAGUUCCUUUGAUGACUUAACGGGCAGCUUCCGGGAAACCAAAGCUUUUGGGUUCCGGGGGAAGUAUGGUUGCAAAGCUGAAACUUAAAGGAAUUGACGGAAGGGCACCACCAGGAGUGGAGCCUGCGGCUUAAUUUGACUCAACACGGGAAACCUCACCAGGCCCGGACACUGGAAGGAUUGACAGAUUGAGAGCUCUUUCUUGAUUCAGUGGGUGGUGGUGCAUGGCCGUUCUUAGUUGGUGGAGCGAUUUGUCUGGUUAAUUCCGAUAACGAACGAGACUCUAGCCUGCUAACUAGUCGUUUCCGGCUUCUCUUUGCAGCCGGCGAAGACAAAUCUUCUUAGAGGGACAGGCGGCUUCUAGCCGCACGAGAUUGAGCAAUAACAGGUCUGUGAUGCCCUUAGAUGUUCUGGGCCGCACGCGCGCUACAAUGAAGGUAUCAGCGUGUCCUCCCUGGCCGAAAGGUCCGGGUAACCCGCUGAACCACCUUCGUGCUUGGGAUUGGGGCUUGAAAUUGUUCCCCAUGAACGAGGAAUUCCCAGUAAAGGCGUGUCAUUAGCACGCCUUGAUUACGUCCCUGCCCUUUGUACACACCGCCCGUCGCUACUACCGAUUGAAUGAUUUAGUGAGGUCUUCGGACUGGCGCGCGGUGAUCUCUCGGGAUCGCCGAUGCCGCCGGAAAGAUGACCAAACUUGAUCA
rnacentral:rRNA from 1 species